ACAUUCACAGUGCAGGUGGAAAAAGUAUGUGAACCCUUGCAUUUAAUAACUGGUUGAACCUCCUUUGGCAGCAAUAAUAGUUGCAGAUCAGACGUGCACAACGGUCAGGAGUAAUUCUUGACCAUUCCUCUUUACAGAAAUGUUUCAAUUCAGCAAUAUUCUUGGGAUGUCUGGUGUGAAUCGCUUUCUUGAGGUCAUACCACAGCAUCUCAAUCGGGUUGAGGUCAUGACUCUGACUAGGCCACUGCAGAAGGCGUAUUUUCUUCUGUUUAAGCCAUUCUGUUGAUUUACUUCUAUGCUUUGGGUCAUUGUCCUGUUGCAACACCCAUCUUCUGUUGAGCUUCAGCUGGUAGACAGAUGGCCUUAAGUUCUCCUGCAAAAUGUCUUGAUAAACUUGGGAAUUCAUUUUUCCUUCGAUGAUAGCAAUCCGUCCAGGCCCUGACGCAGCAAAGCAGCCCCAAACCAUGAUGCCUCCACCACCAUACUUCACAGUUGGGAUGAGGUUUUGAUGUUGGUGUGCUGUGCCUUUUUUUCGCCACACAUAGUGUUGUGUGUUUCUUCCAAACAACUCAAC